UGGGGAAUAUUGCACAAUGGGCGAAAGCCUGAUGCAGCGACGCCGCGUGGGGGAUGACGGCCUUCGGGUUGUAAACCUCUUUCAGCAAGGAAGAAGCGAAAGUGACGGUACUUGCAGAAGAAGCGCCGGCUAACUACGUGCCAGCAGCCGCGGUAAUACGUAGGGCGCAAGCGUUGUCCGGAAUUAUUGGGCGUAAAGGGCUUGUAGGUGGCUUGUCGCGUCUGCCGUGAAAACUCGAGGCUUAACCUUGGGCGUGCGGUGGGUACGGGCAGGCUAGAGUGCGGUAGGGACGACUGGAAUUCCUAGUGUAGCGGUGAAAUGCGCAGAUAUCAGGAGGAACACCGAUGGCGAAGGCAGGUCUCUGGGCCGUUACUGACACUGAGAAGCGAAAGCAUGGGGAGCGAACAGG
rnacentral:rRNA from 1 species